rnacentral:rRNA from 1 species
AGAGUUUGAUCAUGGCUCAGAUUGAACGCUGGCGGCAUGCCUAACACAUGCAAGUCGAACGGAAACGAUGCUAGCUUGCUAGCAGGCGUCGAGUGGCGGACGGGUGAGUAAUGUAUAGGAACUUGCCCAGUAGUGGGGGACAACUUAUGGAAACGUAAGCUAAUACCGCAUAAUCUCUACGGAGGAAAGCAGGGGCUCUUUGGACCUUGUGCUACUGGAUAGGCCUAUAUCGGAUUAGCUAGUUGGUGAGGUAAAGGCUCACCAAGGCGACGAUCCGUAGCUGGUUUGAGAGAAUGAUCAGCCACACUGGGACUGAGACACGGCCCAGACUCCUACGGGAGGCAGCAGUGGGGAAUAUUGCACAAUGGAGGCAACUCUGAUGCAGCAAUGCCGCGUGUGUGAAGAAGGCCUUAGGGUUGUAAAGCACUUUCAAUAGGGAGGAAAAGCGAGUAGUUAAUACCUGCUCGCCGUGACGUUACCUAUAGAAGAAGGACCGGCUAACUCCGUGCCAGCAGCCGCGGUAAUACGGAGGGUCCGAGCGUUAAUCGGAAUUACUGGGCGUAAAGCGCGCGUAGGCGGAUAUUUAAGUCAGAUGUGAAAUCCCUGGGCUCAACCUAGGAACUGCAUUUGAAACUGAAUAUCUAGAGUAUGGUAGAGGUGAGUGGAAUUUCAGGUGUAGCGGUGAAAUGCGUAGAGAUCUGAAGGAACAUCAGUGGCGAAGGCGACUCACUGGGCCAUUACUGACGCUGAGGUGCGAAAGCGUGGGUAGCACACAGGAUUAGAUACCCUGGUAGU